CCUACGGGUGGCAGCAGUGAGGAAUAUUGGGCAAUGGCCGGAAGGCUGAACCAGCCAUGCCGCGUGAAUGUCAGAGCCCUUUGGGUGUUAAACUUCUUUUGUGCGGGAGGAAUAAUGGUCAAGUGUAGCAAGACGAGAGUAACGUAAGAAUAAGAAUCAGCUAACCCCGUGACAGCGGCAGCAGUAGUACGGGGGAUGCAAGCGUUAUCCGGAUUUAGUAGGGUUGAAGGGUGAGUAGGCUGGGAUGUAAGUCAACGGUGAAAUUGCCCCGGGCAACGGGGUGAAGUGCCAUUGAUACUGGCUUGCUUGAGUGCGGAUGCGGUGGGAGGAAUGCGUGGUGUAGCGGUGAAAUGCGUAGAGAU
rnacentral:rRNA from 1 species